CUCGAACAUCCUUUUAUAGACCCGUUUUCCUUUUUCUUUUUUUACAGAUUCAAAUCAAAGCCCUAAUUUCAACAAAUCUUCAAUUUCCCCAAAUUCAAUUUCAUAGAUCACAAAUCUGUGAUUUUAUAGCGUUUUCUUCAUCAAAUCCAUAAGCUUACUACUAUCAGUAAUGGGUGAAUUGAAUAUGCAAGAGAUGCCAUUACCUGCUCUGUUCGAGCAAGCUAAAAAAAUCCAUGAUUUGGCUUCGGAAUCGAGCGUUGAUCAAGGAAUAGUGAGGAAAGGUUGUGAGAUUUUGAGAGUGUGUGAAGAAAUGAUUGGGAAAUUAGGGCUGUUUUCGCUUAAUGAGACUAAAGAUGAUAUUAGCACAGCAAAUCUCAAGUAUAUUCUGGUCCCUUAUUAUCUAGCGGAGCUAACAGAAAAAAUUGCAGAAGAUGACAGGAUAGAAGUACUCAAGGCUUCACAAGCUAAGCUAAAGGAGUUCAUUUCAUUUUGUGAGACAAUGGAACUUGUUCCUGAAGACGAGAUAGAGACAUCUACCCAAGGUGGAUCUAGUUCUUCUGUAGAUCGUAGAGCUAAAAAGAUAGCUCGUUUCAAACGUCAAAGAGCUGCUGAGUCAAAACUACUUGAAUUGAAGGAGCGGAGAGAGCGUCGUGGACGAUCGACUAAAGCAGCUGCAUUGUCAAGUCCUGUGGAAACUGGAGAAGAGGAC
rnacentral:misc_RNA from 1 species